GCAACAAGUGUCCUGAGGUUUUGAAUCACAAGCAGAUCGUGGUGAGCGAGAGAGAACGCGAGGAAAGCUGGUGUGAGCGGCUACGAGAUAGAGAGAAAGAGAGAGAGAGAGAGAGAAAGAGAGAGAGAGAACAAGUAGUGGGAGGGGGGAAGCUUGACGAUUGGUGAGCCUCGAGUGCGACGAAGAGGAAUAGAGAGGUCGCCGUCGUACUUCGUCCAACGGAAAGAGACGAAAGGCCGAACAAGAGAGAGGAAGAGAGAAAGGUGGAGAGGAUCUAGAGAGAGAGAGAGAGAGAGAGAGAGAGAGUAAAAGAGAGAGAACAGAUAUGAUACCCUAGAGAGAGGUUUCCGCGAAUGUGCGCCGGAACAUGUGAGAUGACGUGUGGUAUCGAGUGUUCGACGCUUGAAUGCCUCGAUGCCUUCCCCCUGAGAACGGUAAAUAUCGCGUGUCACGCACAACAACCAUGGCAAGAGUUCGGUAGCCAUCUCCAUACGAAAGAUCGAAACUGAUCAGAUCGUACAAUUCUCUUCAGGAUUCUAUGGAUGGACGAGUUCUUUGCUCCGUUCAAUAAAGAAGUCCAUUUAAAAAUGGUGGAUGCCUCCUUCUCGAGGUCACAUAGGAAUAAAAUGGCGAUUCGAAGAAGUGGAGACCGCAGGCGCUAUCCUCGGACAAACUUGGCGACUUUAAGGAGUUCAUCCCGCAUGCGCGACAUUAUUGUAUUUGCCUGAACACCUGUUGAAGAAUAAAGUUGAACUUGUGGAGCUUACAGUUCGACUAAGUGGUUGCGGUCAGGCAAAUAACAAUACACCGAUAUCCAUCCGAAUGCCAUUUCAAGCUUCCUUUGCCUUUGACAAUUGAUUCGAUGAAUCGUAGACCCUAGAUCAACACGACGUAAUGAACAAGGAUUCCUCUCUCGUUGGACUUUUUCCGGGGGAAGAAAAUACCAGUGUGGUUACCGCGUUCCCGGUGGUAUUCUUCAACAAGAGAGGAAGGAAGAACUGAAAUGGGACGUCGGAGGGAGCUCUCGGUUAGAAGCGGCUGCUUUUGCCUGAAUUAAUCUCUUAGUGGUGGCUCCAGGAAGCGGUGAGCCGCGCCCCAACUUUCAACGAGAAAAAGAGAGGAAAGAAGAGGAGUAAGAAGGGAGGGGGUAAACGUUGCGAGGACGUCCGAGAAUUGACCGAGCUUGAUGCAACGUGAGAAACCGAAAUGUUCGACAUUUGAUAUUUUCGAAAAUCCGUGGAAUCUUCUUUGUUAACAAAUUAGCAAAAACAUUGAUGAUAUGUCAAAAUAAGGUUUAUUAUAGUCGUAAUGUCGUCAUAUGGAUUGUGUAAGAUAAAUUAACAAUUACAAUAGAAAAAACAAUAAAAGAAAAAUUUCAGAUACAAAUUCUCAUCCUGAAGGAUAUCAGAGACAAGAAAAUAACAGUUUGAGGAAAGACACGCAGUCUAUUUAAAAUGCUAUUUUUUAUUUGUUCGCCUUUCCAAGGACUAGUAAAGUAAAAGAGAGAUGAUAGUACAUAAGUGUGGUAAU